rnacentral:rRNA from 1 species
GAAAGCCACCGGUAAAUAUGUGGCAGCAGCCGCGGUAAUACCUAGGGGGGAAGGGUUUUCCGGAUUUAUUGGGGGUAAAGGGUGCGCAAACGGGUUUCUUAGUUUGGAGGCAAAUCCCGGAGCUUAACUCCUGUUCGCCUUGUAAACUACAUGACUUGUGUGCAGGAAAGGUCGAUGGGAUUCCCUGUGUGGCGGGGAAAUGUGUAUAUAUAUGGAGGAACACCUGUGGGGAAAGCGGUCUAUUGGGCUAUGACUGACAUUUAGGCGCGAAAACGUAUGGGGCGAAUAGGAUUAUAUAUCCCUGUUAGUCCACGCCGCAAACAAUAAGUAUUACGUGUCGGGGAUUUACCUCGGCGUUUCAGCUGACGAAUUAAAUACUCCGCCUGAGUAGUAUGCUCGCAAGAGUGAAACUC